rnacentral:rRNA from 1 species
UACGUAGGUGGCAAGCGUUGUCCGGAAUUAUUGGGCGUAAAGCGCGCGCAGGCGGUCCUUUAAGUCUGAUGUGAAAGCCCACGGCUCAACCGUGGAGGGUCAUUGGAAACUGGGGGACUUGAGUGCAGAAGAGGAAAGCGGAAUUCCACGUGUAGCGGUGAAAUGCGUAGAGAUGUGGAGGAACACCAGUGGCGAAGGCGCUUUCUGGUCUGUAACUGACGCUGAGGCGCGAAAGCGUGGGGAGCAAACGG